UAUGGCGGUAAUUGCGAUGAGGUUCCACCUCUUCCCAUUCCGAACAGAGAAGUUAAGCUCAUCAGCGCUGAUGGUACUGCGAAAGCGGGAGAGUAGGUCGCCGCCACCC
rnacentral:rRNA from 1 species